GAGCCGUGGGCAGGAUAGGCGGCGAAGGGUAAAUGAGCCUGUUAGCACGGCAUGGCUAUGUCGCCCCGGCGGUGAUGACCGCCACACCAGCGCGACACCCUCCGCAGCGCGUCCCGCCCAACGAUUCACAGCCAUGCGGCUCCGCCAUCCCCAGAUCGGAUCAGUUAUGGCUCGGUUCUUGAGCAGGAUUUUGGUCAUCUCAAAAUUGGAUCCUUUCUUGGAGAUGAAUCUUGAGGAAUGAAUGGUGGUUGCAUCCAGAAAUGCGUUAAGAUUUUAUCAGUCAGCCUGUUCUCCUUUGUCAUAUGUCAGAACAAAAGGCUUCAAAAUAUACCACUGCAUUCACCAGUGGUGAAUCUUUUUCAGAAAGCGGGUGCUUAAUGGAAGUUGGGACAACACAGUAGUUACUUUGAACGCACUUGACCUUCCGUCUGAUAAUAUUGUAAAGUCUUCUGCGUUUUUGUUAUUGGGGCAGAUUUUUUUUUCGAGCUCAUGAGAUAUGACAGCCUCAUGCGUUAUAUGAAGAUAUUCAGUGAAAUCUCCUCCGUAUUGUUAACAGACUGAAAGUUUAAGAUAUGUGAUGUUGCCUAAUUUAUUUC